rnacentral:rRNA from 1 species
GACGAACGCUGGCGGCGUGCUUAACACAUGCAAGUCGAGCGGUAAGGCCCUUUCGGGGGUACACGAGCGGCGAACGGGUGAGUAACACGUGGGUGACCUGCCCUCAGCUCUGGGAUAAGCCUGGGAAACCGGGUCUAAUACUGGAUAUGACCCCAUGACGCAUGUUGUGGGGUGGAAAGCCUUGUGCGGCUGAGGAUGGGCCCGCGGCCUAUCAGCUUGUUGGUGGGGUGAUGGCCUACCAAGGCGACGACGGGUAGCCGGCCUGAGAGGGCGACCGGCCACACUGGGACUGAGACACGGCCCAGACUCCUACGGGAGGCAGCAGUGGGGAAUCUUGCGCAAUGGGCGAAAGCCUGACGCAGCGACGCCGCGUGAGGGAUGACGGCCU